UGAGAGCAAUCAAAAGUUGAGUUCACCUAUAAAUCUUGUUGUUGCCAUAGGCCUGUGUGAUGCCAUCUCAAGCUGUGCUGAGAUCCUGAACCUGACGUCAUCUUUCAGGCAUGAAUAACGUAGUCUGUAUGUCUGGGGGAUACAAAAUGUGGUGCAGUGAAGAAGAACAAUAUUAGCACUUUAACCCAAAUAACCCAAAUUUGCACAUACAGCUGAUGUAAACACAAUCUAGAGACCAGCAUAGAAAAUGUAGAAUCACACUGACUAUGAUGUUGAUACUGAACAUCUUUUCAAAACACUUAGAACUGUUUGACUUUAUAGUAUACAGAUGUGGAAGAGUAAUGAUUUAUAAUCCCACUAUCACCCAGGAAAGGAUGUGUUCCCUUUUGAGUCUGGUUCCUCUCAUUGUUUCUUCCUCAUGUUGUCUUGGAGAGUUUUUCUUGCCCCUGUCAUCUCUGACUUGUUCAUUAGGGAUCUAAAUCUACAGCCUAAGUUCUGUAAAGCUGCUUUGUGACAAUAUCUACUGUUAUUUAAAAAAAAAAAAAAAGGCACUAUACAAAUAAAAUUGAAUCGAAUAUUUAAUGUAUUCUGAUGUGAUAUUACGGUGAAGUAUUAGCAACCAUUAUUAUUAUUAUUAUUAUUAUUAUUAUUAUUAUUAUUAUUUUACUUCAGCCCAUGUGCUACCACUAUCAUUUUAGAUGCAUGUUAGACUUGGUCCAAGGCUCCAGAUUAACAUCCCAAACCCAAAACAUGGUUUAUAAAGGGAGAAAAACAGAUCUAAACAAUAUUGUAUUUCAUGUUCAAGAAACUGUUCAUAUGUAGUCUAAUGAUACAAUGUGUUACGAAGAAACUUUCCUUUGUUGCAAAACAGCUACCGGAUUCCAGUGCCAGCUACGUUUUUUCCCCCUAGCAAACAUACAAAUGUACAAAUCAUUGGCUGGGACACAUGAGUAAUCUUAGAUAAAGAUCAUAUUAUAGGUAUAAAUUCAGGAGGACACUGGAUUAAGCAAAAGGUGGAAAAGCCAGCAGAUAUGAUGAAAAUGAAGGCACUUUUCAUUUGUCUGGUUGCCUUACUCUUCAUAAAUUACAGUGAGGCUUUGUGGUGUUAUGGAUGUGUUGGAAAAGGCUGUUCAGGUAGAAGAGAGGAAUGUGGCUCUCUUCUGCAAAAUCCUGUCUGUGCCACCAUAAAUGCCCCCACCAUUUAUAUGAAAGGCUGCAUGAGUGAGUACAUCUGUAGGCAGCAACAGCAGGCUCCUCGUACCACUGCUACCUGCUGCAGUACCAACUACUGCAACUAAUAAGGAGGACAUCAGCCAUGGAGAUGUCUCUAUAUGACCAUCACUAGCCAAGAAGUUACAAUCCAGUACUCAUUUAUAUUUCAUGAGUAUAAAAUAUAAUGUGUACUUUUCAGGCAUCUGCAUUAAUUGAUUUGUUUUGUUAAAUAAUGGGAAUUUUUAUUUUAAUUAAAUAAAAGAAUUAACUGCA